GACGAACGCUGGCGGCGUGCUUAACACAUGCAAGUCGAACGGUAAGGCCCUUCGGGGUACACGAGUGGCGAACGGGUGAGUAACACGUGGGUGAUCUGCCCUGCACUUCGGGAUAAGCCUGGGAAACUGGGUCCAAUACCGGAUAGGACUCCUGGCUUCAUGGUUGGGGGUGGAAAGCUUUUGCGGUGUGGGAUGGGCCCGCGGCCUAGCAGCUUGUUGGUGGGGUAAUGGCCUACCAAGGCGACGACGGGUAGCCGGCCUGAGAGGGUGACCGGUCACACUGGGACUGAGAUACGGCCCAGACUCCUACGGGAGGCAGCAGUGGGGAAUAUUGCACAAUGGGCGCAAGCCUGAUGCAGCGACGCCGCGUGAGGGAUGACGGCCUUCGGGUUGUAAACCUCUUUCAGCUAUGACGAAGCGCAAGUGACGGUAGUAGCAGAAGAAGGACCGGCCAACUACGUGCCAGCCGCCGCGGUAACAC
rnacentral:rRNA from 1 species